GGGCAGCGGCGGCGGCGGCGGCUGCACCGGCGGCGGCGGCACCACACAAACAAGGACGCUGAUUGGGCAGCUGCCAAGCGCCUCGGCUCCGCCUUACCCACACGCCACGACGCCCAUUGGGCGACCUAAGCCGGCCACCCCGCCCUCAUCUUCUCGGCCAUGCCAGUAGAAGACUAGAUGCCGGGACUUCACCCCACCCUUGAAGAAUGAGUGGCCGGAGAAGUGAAGAUUGGCGUGCUUAAAACCCAAUCAUAAACGGAGGAGGGGGGAUGGUCUAGCGGGGGCGCGUUAAUGGGUACCUCGGCCAGUCCCAGACACAUCCGGGUCUUCAACAGCCCAUUAAGUGUCGGGGGUCAAAAAAUCGCUUCAGGCUGCAACUUUACCUUAGAGACGUUUUGGUCCCCAGGCAGCCGCCGUACCUCAGUCUCUCCAAACCGGGAUUCCCCUUUGGCCAGCUCUCAUUCUUUCAAUUCUAAAGAUGGAGACUGGCGAACGGCGAGGGGGUCUGCGCUGGGCGGUGUUUCGUCGCGACAGACUCUAGGAAAUUUCACGAUAGAACUAGCUUUAGGCGCUUGAGCCUUGCCGUCUUUUUGGGGUGUGGCCUGUCUCCGUCUGCCAAAGGCUUUGAGCUUCCUGGUGUUCAUCGUACCUCCGCUUGGUCUUGUCGUGACUAAACCACGACAGCAGGAAAAAAAAAAAAAAAAAGGCAGCUAGCCAAGUUGCUGAGGAAUUACGGUGUGCAGAGCCCUCGCAGCUCCUUCUCUUGGGAACUCCUGGUCUGGUUAGGUUCUCAGCGAGGAAACAGCCUCCCACCCCGCCCGAUUCCACUUGACUCAAGGGCCAGCUCCUCUUGCUGGCCUCCCUGCUUCCACGGAGCAGUUAGGCCCGCCUAAACUCAGCGAGCGUUUCUGGAGCACCUUGAGGAUAGGGACCAAGUAACAGAGUCCGGGUGUUGAGGUUAUGAUAGUAGUUAACGUUUUCGGAAAGAGACUGUGUCAGGCUCUGUGCUAAGAACUUUACAUGAAGUAUUUAUUCCUCAUGACUGUGAGUCCAGUGCAUUAUUUGCUGUCUGAAAUGCCAUCCUUCAAGGGCUUUGAGGAAAUACGAAAAACAUGGUGGUAUAUACCAGCCCAAGGAAGAUAAAAGUAAGGCCCGAGAAAAUACUUUUCAACAAGACCAAAAUUAGGCCAUGGAGGGGGACUUUCAAUCUGGAAUGAUUGAGCUUUAAGGAAGACAAGUACAUGAGCUCCUCUAGGACACUGAAAAAGCAUCCUAACAUGCUCAAGACAGGAUAGGAAAUGGUCCUCUGGCUUGAAAGACUCAGCAUCCAGAAGUAGUACCUCACUCUCCAUCCAGUGAUCGCCCCCCAGAAAUGUGCUCUCCCUGUCUCACCAGGCCCUACCCACCUGCCUGGGAGCUGCCUGCCUCUUGAUGUGCUGACACUUGCUCCUGCUGCUGCUGCUGCUGCUGCUGCUGCUGCUGCUGCUGCUGCUGCUGCUGCUGUUGCCGUUCUCUCAAGGGCUGGCGGAACUGAGCAGCCCCCAGGACAACAUUCCGGAGCUUGGCCCAGCGCAGACGCCCACCUGGUGUGCCAGACGGCCACUUGCUUUCCAACACAGCCUACCAAGCACAGUGCCCAUCAGGAUGGCCUACCUCGACACCCUAACCCUGCCUCAUACCCACUCCCUGUCCUGGAGCCCCAGGGACUGCCCUUCCCCUGCAGACAUCCUGCCUAGGACUGUCCGGCCAAUGGCUCAGCCAGGAACAAGAGCCCAGAAGAGACAGUAGGCAGCAGCUGCCUCCCAAGGGGCCUAGAAGAAGCCAGAGGCAAUGGAGAAAAUUUGUACCCAGACCUUGCUGCUUAGAAAUAUAAAAUAUAUGGCUCUGAAGAAAUCA